UACGGGGGGGGCAAGCGUUGUUCGGAAUUACUGGGCGUAAAGGGCUCGUAGGUGGCCAACUAAGUCGGACGUGAAAUCCCUCGGCUUAACCGAGGAACUGCGCCCAAAACUACCGAGCUCGAGGAAGAUAGAGGUGAGCGGAACUUACGGUGGAGCGGUGAAAUGCGUUGAUAUCGUAAGGAACACCCGUGGCGAAAGCGGCUCACUGGGUCUUCUCUGACGCUGAUGCACGAAAGCUAGGGGAGCAAACGGG
rnacentral:rRNA from 1 species